UAAACGGUUUUAUUUAGCUCACCCCGUUUGUUUUAUUCUUUCUUGGGUCAAAUUUAGUAAUUCAAAUUUCACACUCUUCCUGUCAACCGAUUAAUCUGAAAUUUUGUGUACACUUUGGAUUUUGGUGACAAUACAAUUAUGUUUAUUCAUUAUCAUUAUAAAUUCAAGAUGGCCGCCGCUACAAAAUGGCGGAUAAUUUAGGUUUUAUUAAUCCCAUCAAUAUGGGUAUCAAAUGAAAGGGCUCAACAAGCAGAAUACAAUAUACUAUAAAAAAAUUAAAUCUAAGAUGGCGGCCGUUACAAAAUGGCGGAUAACGUAGGUUUUAUCAAUCCCAUCAAUAUGGGUAUCAAAUGAAAGGGCUCAACAAGCAGAAUACAAUAUACUAUAAAAAAAUUAAAUCUAAGAUGGCGGCCGUUACAAAAUGGCGGAUAACGUAGGUUUUAUCAAUCCCAUCAAUAUGGGUAUCAAAUGAAAGGUCUCAACAAGUAGAAUACAAUUUACUAUGCAAACUUGAAAUCUAUAAUGGCCGCCGCUCUGGGCUCGCUGUUAUAGCAGCGGUAAGUCCCCUCUUUGAGGAGUGGCUAGAGAGGCGUCACGGCGUCCUCACCUACCGCCUGACGCAGGUGCUUACUGGACACGGAAGUUUCGGUAGGUACCUGUUUCGGAUUCGGCGGGAGGAAACGCCCGGGUGUCGUCAUUGCGAGGACCACCCGGAGGACACGGUGGAGCAUACAGUAGCGGUGUGCCCUGCAUGGGUUGAGCACCGCCGUGUCCUUAGAGAUGUGAUCGGCGACGGUGACCUCUCGUGUCCGGCCCUGGUUCAGGCCAUGGUGCGGAGCGAGGGGGAAUGGGACGCCGUCUCCUCCUUCUGCGAAGCAGUCAUGCUAGCUAAGGAGGAGGCGGAGCGCGUGAGGGAACGAUCCUCCUCAUGCCCCAGCCGCUGCAGAAGACACUCCGGGCGUUGGGGAUCGCGUGACGAUUCCCGGCCACCGUAAGUGCGGGUCUGUGGACGACGAGCAAGGGUAGCUCGCCGCCCGAACAGAACCAGACCCGUGCGUACGGCGCGUCGCGUUCCGCGCGCACCUCAAAGAGCCAGACCACCACAGAUGGGGCCCAGUAGGGCUGAUGCCUGAUCCGGAGCUGCGGACAACGUAAAAGGUUACCGGGGCUCCGGCUCAAAGCAGGAGAAGGAAGGUUUUUAGUCAGUAAGAGUCUGACACUCCCUCCCGCCUCACCCAAGGCGGGAGAAGACAUUGGAUGAUUUUCCGCCCUCAAAAAAAAAAAAAAAAAAAGAUGGCCGCCGCUACCAAAUGGCUGAUAACAAUUUUUUAUCAAUCCCAACAAUAUGGGUAUCAAAUAAAAGGGCUUGACAAGAAGAAUACAGUGCACUAUACAACCUCAAUAUUUAAGAUGGGCGCAGCCACUAAAUGGCGUAUAAUAAUAAGAUUUAAAUUUAGAAAUUGAAUCUGUAAUUUAGGUACCUACUUAUCUGAUUAAUCCAGCCUGAAUCCACCACCCAAGUCAAGAUUUUGUAUCGUGUUGAGGACUGCGUGGCGUUAGGGUGGCUAAAAAUGAUACGUCGUUAGCGGUACACCACCCAAGUUAAGGUGAAAGGUUAAAACGUGCCGAGAACUGUAUGGCAUUAGGGUGGAUAAAAAUGAUAUGUCGUUAGCGUUUUCCCCUCAAGACUCAGGCGCAUCUUGUAGGUGCGAAACUGUUUGAAGAAGGUCAAGCCUACGUGGCUCUUAGUAGAGUAAGAUCUUUGCAGGGACUAUGUAUAGAGGAGUUGGACUGCAAUAAACUAACGGGCAACAAACCUUGCAAUAAUGAAGCACUAAAUGAAUUAAACAGAAUGCGAAAUAAAAACUAAAAACUAGAAAAUAAAAAUAGGUAAAAAAACUUUUUAAGUUAAACGGUUUUAUGUGAAACAUACAUUGCAAUGUUUAAGAUAAAUGUACUAAAAACCAAAAAAUAAUAAAAUAGAUACAGUCGUGGGAAUUAUAAAUAUAUGCAUAGACUAGACUAAAAUAAAACCGUGGGGCACGUCAAUUGUCUACAAAUUAUCGACUUAAUGUGCGAUAGAAGAAUCGUUUAAUUCGUCGUUAGGCAGUUGGCAGACGGUGAGGAAAUUACUUACUUACUAUGGAUUUUCUUGCUCAUGGAUAUUCCAAUAGUUUUACACUCCAUGUAAAUAAAAGAGAUGUCUCAACUAGUUUAUUAUUGGACAUUCACACUGCUGGCUGGCGAGGAAUCGUUUCACUGCUCGUAGUUUGUCUUUAAUCGACAAAACAUGCGAUAAAAGUAUCGCUCAACACUAUGAAGCCCUAAAACUCGCUUAUAAUCGAGCUUGCCAACUUGUUAACAAAUUCUAGCCCUACUUAUCACACGUCCAUCGUUGUCGGUUGAACAACUGCCUAAUUAUAGUGUAACAUUACAAAACAAACAUUUUAAUCAACGAUUGACGUGCCCCACGGUUUUAUUUUAGUCUAGUCUAUGCAUAUAUUUAUAAUUCCCACGACUGUAUCUAUUUUAUUAUUUUUUGGUUUUUAGUACAUUUAUCUUAAACAUUGCAAUGUAUGUUUCACAUAAAACCGUUUAACUUAAAAAGUUUUUUUACCUAUUUUUAUUUU